CCUACGGGUGGCAGCAGUGGGGGAUAUUGCACAAUGGGGGAAACCCUGAUGCAGCGACGCCGCGUGGGCGAAGAAGUAUUUCGGUAUGUAAAGCCCUAUCAGCAGGGAAGAAGAAAUGACGGUACCUGAGUAAGAAGCACCGGCUAAAUACGUGCCAGCAGCCGCGGUAAUACGUAUGGUGCAAGCGUUAUCCGGAUUUACUGGGUGUAAAGGGAGCGCAGGCGGCAGUGCAAGUCUGGAGUGAAAGCCCGGGGCCCAACCCCGGAACUGCUCUGGAAACUGUGCGGCUAGAGUACUGGAGGGGCAGGCGGAAUUCCUAGUGUAGCGGUGAAAUGCGUAGAUAUUAGGAGGAACACCAGUGGCGAAGGCGGCCUGCUGGACUGCAACUGACGUUGAGGCCCGAAAGCGUGGGGAGCAAACAGGAUUAGAUACCCGGGUAGUC
rnacentral:rRNA from 1 species